rnacentral:rRNA from 1 species
GAUGAACGCUGGCGGCGUGCCUAAUACAUGCAAGUCGAGCGAACAGACGAGGAGCUUGCUCCUCUGACGUUAGCGGCGGACGGGUGAGUAACACGUGGAUAACCUACCUAUAAGACUGGGAUAACUUCGGGAAACCGGAGCUAAUACCGGAUAAUAUAUUGAACCGCAUGGUUCAAUAGUGAAAGACGGUUUUGCUGACCCUUAUAGCUGGAUCCGCGCCGCAUGAGCUAGUUGGUAAGGUAACGGCUUACCAAGGCAACGAUGCGUAGCCGACCUGAGAGGGUGUACCGCCACACUGGAGCUGAGCCACGGUCCUGACUCCUACGGGAGGCAGCAGUAGGGAAUCUUCCGCAAUGGGCGAAAGCCUGACGGAGCGACGCCGCGUGAGUGAUGAAGGUCUUCGGAUCGUAAAACUGUGUUAUUAGGGAAGAACAAUUGUGUAAGUAACGAUGCACGUCUUGACGGUACCUAAUCAGAAAGCCACGGCUAACUACGUG